UAAUACGAAGGGGGCUAGCGUUGUUCGGAAUUACUGGGCGUAAAGCGCACGUAGGCGGAUAUUUAAGUGAGGGGUGAAAUCCCAGGGCUCAACCCUGGAACUGCCUUUCAUACUGGGUAUCUCGAGUUCGAGAGAGGUGAGUGGAAUUGCGAGUGUAGAGGUGAAAUUCGUAGAUAUUCGCAGGAACACCAGUGGCGAAGGCGGCUCACUGGCUCGAUACUGACGCUGAGGUGCGAAAGCGUGGGGAGCAAACAGG
rnacentral:rRNA from 1 species